rnacentral:rRNA from 1 species
UACGAAGGGUGCAAACGUUGUCCGGAUUUAUUGGGCGUAAAGAGCUCGUAGGUGGCUUAGUAAGUCGGGUGUGAAACCUCCAGGCUCAACCUGGAGACGCCACCCGAUACUGCUAUAGCUUGAGUCCGGUAGGGGAGCGUGGAAUUCCUGGUGUAGCGGUGAAAUGCGCAGAUAUCAGGAGGAACACCAGCGGCGAAGGCGGCGCUCUGGGCCGGUACUGACACUGAGGAGCGAAAGCGUGGGGAGCAAACAGG